rnacentral:rRNA from 1 species
UACGAAGGGGGGCUAGCGUUGCUCGGAAUCACUGGGCGUAAAGCGCACGUAGGCGGAUUGCUAAGUCAGGGGUGAAAUCCUGGAGCUCAACCCCGGAACUGCCUUUGAUACUGGCAUUCUCGAGUCCGGAAGAGGUGAGUGGAAUUCCGAGUGUAGAGGUGAAAUUCGUAGAUAUUCGGAGGAACACCAGUGGCGAAGGCGGCUCACUGGUCCGGUACUGACGCUGAGGUGCGAAAGCGUGGGGAGCAAACAGG